rnacentral:ribozyme from 17 species
GUUUUUUUUUUUUUUUUUUUUUUUUUUCUUUUUUUUUUUUUUUUGCAAAAU